GGCCUCGUAGUUCGGAUGGUUAGAGCUUUGGCCGUACCAAAGCUCUCCCCUUGCUGUCGUGGGUUCAAAUCCCACCGAGGCCG
rnacentral:tRNA from 1 species